CAACGAGGCUAUCUACAAGCGCAGUCAUUCCGAAACCUGAUCUAGGAGAAAGUGCAGACUAAAUACAAUUUCAUUUUGACUUGGCCUCCCGCUGAGAAUGGGACUGCUUUGUUUCAGCCAACAGAGGCAGCAAGCCAUAAAGAUUGCUGUUGGAAUUUUCCGAAAGAUGGGAUGAAUUGGAAUGCUGAUUGGAAGCCAGGUCUUCUCGACCAACAUCAGUGCCUGAACAAAUGCUCUUUCGGGUGAAUGGGCAUACAUUUACACAGACACACAGAAGACUGGAGGUUUUUGCCACAUAGGGAGAGGAAGGCAACUCCAUAGUAAUGCCCAUGGAUUUAGAAUAUGAUGUCCAACAAGCUCAUAUAGGUGUGAUGUUCAGAUGUACAAAUACUUUUGAUAAUAUAGUGUAUCUAUAAAUGUAUUACCCUUU